rnacentral:rRNA from 1 species
CACGUAGGCACCAAGCGUUGUCCGGAUUUACUGGGCGUAAAGGGCGCGUAGGCGGUCAGCACAAGUCAGUUGUGAAAUCUCCGGGCUUAACUCGGAAAGGUCAACUGAUACUGUGCGACUAGAGUGCAGAAGGGGGCAACUGGAAUUCUCGGUGUAGCGGUGAAAUGCGUAGAUAUCGAGAGGAACACCUGCGGCGAAGGCGGGUUGCUGGGCUGACACUGACGGCUGAGGCGCGAAAGCCCAGGGGAGCGAACGGG